CACAGCCUGUUGGAGCAAGGCCUGAGGGCCUGCCUGGAGCCUGACUGCCAUCGAACUUCAUCACAGGGAGACAUUAUUAAUACGAAUGAUAAUCUGACAACCUGACAUUUUAGUUAAGAUCAACAAGAAGGUUAAAGAAUCAGCUUUAAAGCCCUCUGUAACAUGAUAAACAUUUCUAUCGGCAUGUAACCAGCACAUAACAUCACUGCUAUAAUUUUCUCCUCUAAUGAUGGUUAUGUCGGAGAGCGCUCAUUGAUGCCCGCGGGCCGAUUGUGUAAAUGAAACAGAAAACAUACAAAUUGCAUUGUCAAUUCAAAUUUAAGCAGGUAAUGCAGCCCAUUCAUUGCAUUGGCCCGCGGUAGCUACCUCUAGUUAUCUGUGACAGAAGGACACGUCGUCGGCCUGCUGGAGGGAAAAAAAAGCGACAGGCAGCAGCAGCGCCUCGAGUAGGCUACACCAGAAAGGAGACGCGCUACGACAUGACAAAUUCAUCGUCUCUGCCUGAUAAAUCACUGGGCUGUUUUAAUUUUCGUAGGAAAGAGGCCGUGUCGAAGGCCAGUUGCUGUUCUAAUUAAACUGAGACAACUCAGAAUUAGCGUGCUCGUCACCGGCGGUCUCCGCGGCGGCUGUCAUCGCCCGCAUCGCGCAUCUUCAGACUAUUUGAAAAUCAAUUAUCUCAACAAACCAGCUGUAAGGAAGUCGAUGGUAUUUAUUUAUUUACCUAUUUAUUUCCAUUAUUUAAUGCCGUUCUUAAACAAUACACAAUCUCAUUUUCAUGUUCUCUUAACCUCCAUGACUAUUCUACAUGAAUUCACCCAGCUCACCUCCGUCAUCGCCCCUGUCUGCAGAUUGUGGUGGAGAAACCUCACCGGCUCUUUUCAUUUAUUUAUUACAUGCAAAUCAAAGCACUCUUGGAGGUGCUCUCCCGUUUUGCAUAAAUAUUGAUGGGUACGGUGCAGCCUGCGUGUUUGUUUGUGCCGGGGGGAGGGCGCUGAAGGGGGUGUGGGCUGCUCAUUGCACCGUCAGAUUGACCUAGCCUAAGAACCCGCUGCACAUUUUGAUGACAUCCUUUUUUGUCACCUCUCUUGCAGGGUAGAUGACAGGCCAGGGAUGAGCUUCAAACAGUGGCAUGUAUAUGUGUAUGUAUGUAACAGGCCUGUGGAGUGUUUGUGUGUCAAGGACGUUAGCGGGGUGGACAGCUGAUGGACACCAGCGUGGAGGAGAUGUGAUAAAGUAAGAAAGUCGCACAGGUUUGGAAAGACAUUAGGGAGCGUGUGUGGAACUUUUUCCUGAUGUGAUACAGAGGGACUGGUGAGGAUUUCAUCUCGCUUUUACUGAUCUCCAAAGGGGACUGUAGAGGAGUGAGCCGGGGUGAUGGAAGAGUUAACAGGGUUAAGGAGUGGAGAGCUAUAGUAUAUCCUCAUCCAUCAGUGAGGCUGAUAAUCACAACACAGGAUAGAGAAUGAAGACGGGACAUCUGUACAUUAGAAUGAAAUUAAUCACACAUAUGAGUUUUUUUUUUUUUUGUGGAAUCAUGGGAAUUCAAGCAUUAUAAUCACUUGAUUUUCCCAACACAGCUCACCUACCAAUAAACAAAAUUGAUGAGCGAUGGUUUAAAUUAAUCUCUGAACGAUAUUGUGUGAUGCAAAUAGAGAGGACUUAAAUGCAUAAUACAGACUUUGCUACGUGUGAAUAUGGAAAGUGUUAUAAAAGAGGUGAGAGUAAGAGGAAAGUCUUAUCGUCCCUCAAUCUUUCCCUCUAUUUUCUUUCCCCCAUUCUCUUCUUCUGUCUUCAGUGCUGAUGAAAUAUCGCUAUUGUUUAUGCUGAAGAUUAGAAUGAAAUUGGGCUGAAACUGGUUGUUCUGAGGAGAUGGAGAUAAGGCAGAGGAUUUGUAUGGGGCCGUGUGUGGGACCCUCUUAUCGGGGCCCCUGCCACAGGCACCAUAUAAAGUUGUUCAUGCUAAUUAGCCCAGGCAGAAGCCCAGCCCUCACUAUGAUGGCAAUUCAGCGAGGCCCCCACACUAACACUCAUAAAUACGCAUCCUGUUCAUUAUCAUGACUUUUAUCCUUUUUCCUUACCAAGACAAGAUAAGAAAUUUAAUUACAAAAAUUUACAUUUCACAGCAAGAAGUCUGGAUAAACAAAUAGUUUUUAUCAGUGCCGUUUUUAAAAGAGAGCGCCUGACACUUCUUUGACCAAGACAUUCCACAGCUUAAUGCACAUUCACCCAAAACGGAGAAUAAGAAAUAAUGUUUGCUUGGGUCUUUGAAGAAGAAUGAUUCAUUUGAUGACACAGUAUUUGCAACACAUGAAUUGAUUAAACGUCUUCAGAUGAUUUCUCUGUUGCCAUGAGACGCAGGUGUUGUUUCUUAGUCUCAGAGUAACAGUACAGUCUAGUUUAUUAACACUUUCACCUUGACACAUCCUGCCUUAUGUGAGCACCCACUAGAGCCUUCUGACCUUUACAGGAAAAUGGAGUGGUUUUCAAUAUGUGCAGACCCCAAGGACUCCUAUUUGUGCUUUUAAAUUACAUGUAUUAGGCAUUUUACACAUUUCCAGACUUUUGUAUGUGUAUGUGUGUGUUAUCGUGAGUGCUUUUGGAUAGACCAUCCAUUACGGCAAUAUGCAACUUCUGGUAACUGCAAGAAAUGUGGAUGUGAAGCAUCUAGUUCUUUUAUUAGUAUGCUGUAUAUAUUAAAAAAGAAUGGAGGACAGAGUAUAAUAUUUGGUAAAUCUAUCUAACAGAUAGGCUCUUUCUGCUUCCUGACCACCAAGUGUUUAUAAGUAUGCUUCUUUAUCUACCUUUUGUUAGUAGGUCAGAUGUUAAUUGUUAUACCAAUUAGCUCCUCUUCUGCUAUUCCAGUGCUGUGCUAUGCAGUUCCAACUGCUAAGCUUAGUAUAUAUUUGUGUCAUAAUUUGUGUAAACAUUUAUGUAACUCUUUUUUGUACAAUAAAU
ensembl:lncRNA